rnacentral:rRNA from 1 species
AGCAGCCGCGGUAAUUCCAGCUCCAAUAGCGUAUAUUAAAGUUGUUGCAGUUAAAAGCUCGUAGUUGAAUUUCGGGGUUAGUAAGUUGGUCGUGCCACUGGUAUGUACUGGUUUUACUGAUCCCUCCUUCUUGUAGAACCGUAAUGCCAUUCACUUGGUGUUGCGGGGAAACAGGACUGUUACUUUGAAAAAAUUAGAGUGUUUAAAGCAGGCUAACGCUUGAAUACAUUAGCAUGGAAUAAUGAAAUAGGACGUUCGAUCCUAUUUUGUUGGUUCCUAGGAUUGACGUAAUGAUUAAUAGGGAUAGUUGGGGGCAUUAGUAUUCAAUUGUCAGAGGUGAAAUUCUUGGAUUUAUUGAAGACUAACUACUGCGAAAGCAUUUGCCAAGGAUGUUUUCAUUAAUCAAGAACGAAAGUUAGGGGAUCGAAGACGAUCAGAUACCGUCGUAGUCUUGACCAUAAACUAUGCCGACUAGGGAUCGGGAUGAUGUUAAUUUUUAAUGACUCAUUCGGCGCCUUAC